rnacentral:rRNA from 1 species
GCUUUAUAUCACAAAUAUGUAGCUUGUUUUGUCGGAGUUUAGCUUAAUAUGGGAGAUAUUUUGUUGGGGUGACAGGAAGAUAUAAGAAACUCUUCUUUUAAUAGACCAUAAAUAUAUGAAUAAAUGAUCCAGUGAGUGUGAUUAAAAGACUAAGU